GUUCUCCCCGAAAGCUAUUUAGGUAGCGCCUCGUGAACUCAUCUUCGGGGGUAGAGCACUGUUUCGGCUAGGGGGUCAUCCCGACUUACCAACCCGAUGCAAACUACGAAUACCGAAGAAUGUUAUCACGGGAGACACACGGCGGGUGCUAACGUCCGUCGUGAAGAGGGAAACAACCCAGACCGCCAGCUAAGGUCCCAAAGUCAUGGUUAAGUGGGAAACGAUGUGGGAAGGCACAGACAGCCAGGAUGUUGGCUUAGAAGCAGCCAUCAUUUAAAGAAAGCGUAAUAGCUCACUGGUCGAGUCGGCCUGCGCGGAAGAUGUAACGGGGCUAAACCAUGCACCGAAGCUGCGGCAGCGACACUAUGUGUUGUUGGGUAGGGGAGCGUUCUGUAAGCCUGCGAAGGUGACCUGUGAGGGUUGCUGGAGGUAUCAGAAGUGCGAAUGCUGACAUAAGUAACGAUAAAGCGGGUGAAAAGCCCGCUCGCC
rnacentral:rRNA from 1 species